rnacentral:rRNA from 2 species
CCUACGGGAGGCAGCAGUGGGGAAUAUUGGACAAUGGGCGCAAGCCUGAUCCAGCCAUGCCGCGUGUGUGAAGAAGGCCUUUUGGUUGUAAAGCACUUUAAGCGAGGAGGAGGCUACUUGGAUUAAUACUCUAGGAUAGUGGACGUUACUCGCAGAAUAAGCACCGGCUAACUCUGUGCCAGCAGCCGCGGUAAU